rnacentral:rRNA from 1 species
GAUGAACGCUGGCGGCGUGCCUAAUACAUGCAAGUCGAGCGAACGGACGAGAAGCUUGCUUCUCUGAUGUUAGCGGCGGACGGGUGAGUAACACGUGGAUAACCUACCUAUAAGACUGGGAUAACUUCGGGAAACCGGAGCUAAUACCGGAUAAUAUUUUGAACCGCAUGGUUCAAAAGUAAAAGACGGUCUUGCUGUCACUUAUAGAUGGAUCCGCGCUGCAUUAGCUAGUUGGUAAGGUAACGGCUUACCAAGGCAACGAUGCAUAGCCGACCUGAGAGGGUGAUCGGCCACACGGGAACUGAAACACGGUCCAGACUCCUACGGGAGGCAGCAGUAGGGAAUCUUCCGCGAUGGGCGAAAGCCUGACGGAGCAACGCCGCGUGAGUGAUGAAGGUCUUCGGAUCGUAAAACUCUGUUAUUAGGGAAGAACAUAUGUGUAAGUAACUGUGCACAUCUUGACGGUACCUAAUCAGAAAGCCACGGCUAACUACGUG